rnacentral:rRNA from 1 species
CCUACGGGUCGCACCAGUGGGGAAUAUUGCACAAUGGGCGCAAGCCUGAUGCAGCCAUGCCGCGUGUAUGAAGAAGGCCUUCGGGUUGUAAAGCACUUUCAGCGGGGAGGAAGGCGGUGAGGUUAAUAACCUCAUCGAUUGACGUUACCCGCAGAAGAAGCACCGGCUAACUCCGUGCCAGCAGCCGCGGUAAUACGGAGGGUGCAAGCGUUAAUCGGAAUUACUGGGCGUAAAGCGCACGCAGGCGGUCUGUCAAGUCGGAUGUGAAAUCCCCGGGCUCAACCUGGGAACUGCAUUCGAAACUGGCAGGCUAGAGUCUCGUAGAGGGGGGUAGAAUCCCAGGUGUAGCGGUGAAAUGCGUAGAGAUCUGGAGGAAUACCGGUGGCGAAGGCGGCCCCCUGGGCAAAGACUGACGCUCAAGUGCGAAAGCGUGGGGAGCAAACAGGAUUAGAUACCCCUGUAGUC